rnacentral:rRNA from 1 species
UAGGGAAUCUUCGGCAAUGGACGAAAGUCUGACCGAGCAACGCCGCGUGAGUGAAGAAGGUUUUCGGAUCGUAAAACUCUGUUGUUAGAGAAGAACAAGGACGUUAGUAACUGAACGUCCCCUGACGGUAUCUAACCAGAAAGCCACGGCUAACUACGUGCCAGCAGCCGCGGUAAUACGUAGGUGGCAAGCGUUGUCCGGAUUUAUUGGGCGUAAAGCGAGCGCAGGCGGUUUCUUAAGUCUGAUGUGAAAGCCCCCGGCUCAACCGGGGAGGGUCAUUGGAAACUGGGAGACUUGAGUGCAGAAGAGGAGAGUGGAAUUCCAUGUGUAGCGGUAAAAUGCGUAGAUAUAUGGAGGAACACCAGUGGCGAAGGCGGCUCUCUGGUCUGUAACUGACGCUGAGGCUCGAAAGCGUGGGAAGCAAACAGG